rnacentral:rRNA from 1 species
UACGGGGGGUGCGAGCGUUGUCCGGAUUCACUGGGCGUAAAGGGCGCGUAGGCGGCUAGGCAAGUCAGGUGUGAAAGCCCCGAGCUUAACUCGGGAAUUGCAUCUGAAACUGCUGUGCUUGAGUUCUGGAGGGGGUAGUGGAAUUCCCAGUGUAGCGGUGAAAUGCGUAGAUAUUGGGAAGAACACCGGUGGCGAAGGCGGCGACCUGGUCCUUUUACUGACGCUGAGGCGCGAAAGCGUGGGGAGCAAACAGG